CGGCGGACGGGUGAGUAACGCGUGGGUAACCUGCCUCAUACAGGGGGAUAACAGUUGGAAACGGCUGCUAAUACCGCAUAAGCGCACAGUACCGCAUGGUACGGUGUGAAAAACUCCGGUGGUAUGAGAUGGACCCGCGUCUGAUUAGGUGGUUGGUGGGGUAACGGCCUACCAAGCCGACGAUCAGUAGCCGACCUGAGAGGGUGACCGGCCACAUUGGGACUGAGACACGGCCCAA
rnacentral:rRNA from 1 species